CCUACGGGUGGCAGCAGUGGGGAAUAUUGCACAAUGGGGGAAACCCUGAUGCAGCGACGCCGCGUGAGUGAAGAAGUAUUUCGGUAUGUAAAGCUCUAUCAGCAGGGAAGAAAAUGACGGUACCUGAUUAAGAAGCCCCGGCUAACUACGUGCCAGCAGCCGCGGUAAUACGUAGGGGGCAAGCGUUAUCCGGAUUUACUGGGUGUAAAGGGAGCGUAGACGGCAGCGCAAGUCUGAAGUGUAAUUCCGGGGCUCAACCUCGGCGCUACCGCCAAAACUAUUAGACUAGAGUGCAGGAGGGGUAAGUGGAAUGCCUAGUGUAGCGGUGGAAUGCGUAGAUAUUAGGAGGAACAUCAGGGGCGAAGGCGACUUACUGGACUGUAACUGACACUGAGGCACGAAAGCGUGGGGAGCAAACAGGAUUAGAUACCCUAGUAGUC
rnacentral:rRNA from 1 species